UUUCUUUUCUCCUUUUUUCUUGGUUCUUCCUUCCCUUUGGGUCAUUAUUGUUAGCUUUGAAGUUUAAUGGUUCCUGAUAUCUUCUCUCUCAUUUUGUCAUAUUCUGAAGUUUAGUGGCUCUUGCAGGUUCUCUUCAUCUGUUUCUUCUCUGAUUUUUCCCAAAUCCCUUUCCCUUCUCUUUUUUUAUUUUGGGUUCUUUUCAUGAUUUUUAAUUUUGCAAUUGAAUCGGGUGGAAAAACUUUAUUUUUAAGCUCUAACCUUGCUGAGUUUUGAAAUUCCGUGCUUUCCUGGGUGCUUCACGUACUUGUUAAUUUUGCAAUUUCAGGGCUGUUAUAUGUUGCGAUACUUAAUAACUGUUCAUUUUAUCACCCAGAUAGUAUAAAUUUUAUCACCCAGAUAGUAAGGUAUUUAUAUCAUGCUACUCUUGAUCUUCUUUUGUCUUUGUUUUAUUCAUCUAACUCUCAUUGCCGCUUUGUAACUCUUUUUAUUUUUUAGAUGGUGUGUAGCUCUUUUUUCAUAAAGUUCAAUCUUUUAUGGACUCUCUCGAAUAUGGGUCUGCAGAUAAGUUAAACUGGAGAAGGAGCGCUAACAGACAUAGAGGCGAAGAGGAACAGAGAAGGAGAAACAUCACGAAUACACAUCCGUAAUCUAUAUAUGUAGUCCAGCAGAAUCCACCUUUCCAGAAAGUUUUCACAAAUUGAAGGUGGUAUUUCCUAUGAUGACGUCCACACUCUAGAGGAGAUAUAUUGUCUGUGUGAAAGUUAAACAAAUGCAAUUCAAUACUUAGUCAACUAGAAUAUAAUCUUAGGAAUUCCUGUUGUUAAGAAAACUAAUUAGAUACUCUUCAUUUUUCUGCAAAGGCUGCCUUGAUUGACAUUUCCAUUCUAUGGGAAAAACUUAUGCCGGGCAAUUAGGUAUGAUGUUUCUACAGAAAAGAACUUUAUUAGUGUUGACUAUGCUUAAGAUAAGUUCACACAUGAAAUCUAAGUUCUGCUUUCAUAUUGUA